rnacentral:rRNA from 1 species
GGCUUUUGUGGAAUGUAAAAAGUCUACGAAUAAGGACUGGGGAAGACUAGUGCCAGCCGCCGCGGUAAUACUAGCGGUCCAAGUCGCAGCCAUUCUUAUUGGGUCUAAAACAUCCGUAGCUUGCUUGAUAAGUUUUCUGUGAAAUCUCAUAUCUCAAGUAUAAGAAUUGUGGAAAAUACUGUCAAGCUAGAGGCCGGGAGACGUAAAGAGUACGUCUAAAGUAGCGGUAAAAAGUGUUGAUCUUAGGCGGACUGACGAUAGCGAAGGCACUUUACGAGAACGGUUCUGACAGUAAGGGAUGAAGGCUAGGGGCGCAAAACGGAUUAGAUACCCGUGUAGUCCUAGCAGUAAACACUGCACACUAAACCUUGUGAUCUCUUCGAGAGAUUGCAGGGCUGCAGGGAAGCCGAAGAGUGUGCUACCUGGGAAGUAUAGUCGCAAGGCUGAAACUUAAAGGAAUUGGCGGGGAGACACUACAACGGGUGACGCGUGCGGUUCAAUUAGAUUAUACACCGUGAACCUCACCAGGAGCGACAGCAGAAUGAAGGUCAGUCUAAAGGGCUUACCUGACACGCUGAGAGGGGUUGCAUGGCCGACGUCAGCCUGUGCUGUGAGGCGAUCUGUUAAAUCAGAUAACAGGCAAGACCCACAUCUUUAUUUAC